GCCGAUGAUGACACCAGGUCUCUGAAAUGUGAUGAGCCCUAUGAGUUCUGAGG
rnacentral:snoRNA from 1 species